rnacentral:rRNA from 1 species
CCUACGGGAGGCUGCAGUGAGGAAUAUUGGUCAAUGGACGAGAGCCUGAACCAGCCAAGCCGCGUGAAGGAUGACUGCCCUAUGGGUUGUAAACCUCUUUUAUAUGGGAAUAAAACGAUCCACGUGUGGGAUAUUGUAUGUAUCCUACGAACAAGGAUCGGCUAACUCCGUGCCAGCAGCCGCGGUAAUACGGAGGAUCCGAGCGUUAUCCGGAUUUAUUGGGUUUAAAGGGAGCGUAGGUGGAUUGUUAAGUCAGUUGUGAAAGUUUGCGGCUCAACCGUAAAAUUGCAGUUGAAACUGGCAGUCUUGAGUACAGUAGAGGUGGGCGGAAUGCGUGGUGUAGCGGUGAAAUGCUUAGAUAUCGCGAAGAACUCCGAUUGCGAAGGCAGUUCACUGGACUGCAACUGACACUGAGGCACGAAAGUGUGGGUAUCGAACAGGAUUAGAUACCCCUGUAGUC